AAUGGAGGCAACUCUGAACCAGCCAUGCCGCGUGUAGGAAGAAUGCCCUAUGGGUUGUAAACUACUUUUAUUUGGGAAGAAAUCCCUCUACGUGUAGGGGGCUGACGGUACCAAAGGAAUAAGGACCGGCUAACUCCGUGCCAGCAGCCGCGGUAAUACGGAGGGUCCAAGCGUUAUCCGGAAUCAUUGGGUUGAAAGGGUGCGCAGGCGGUAAAGUAAGUCAGUGGUGAAAUCCCUUCGCUCAACGAAGGAAUNGCCAUUGAUGCUGCUAUACUUGAAUAUAGUUGAAGUAGGCGGAAUGUGUAGUGUAGCGGUGAAAUGCUUAGAUAUUACACAGAACACCGAUAGCGAAGGCAGCUUACUAAACUAAUAUUGACGCUCAUGCACGAAAGCGUGGGGAGCGAA
rnacentral:rRNA from 1 species